ACUCGGCCCGAGAUUUGGCCAUUUCACCUCCCCACCCCCACUCAGGCGCCCCAACGCUCCCCCAGUUCCUUGUGGUCCGGCCUGCCUACAUCAAAACGCUGGCCAGGUAAGGUCAGUGAUGGGCAGGAGUCACUCGGCUGCCACCUGCUCGCCUCUGGGCGUGGGAGUGGUGUUAGGGAACUGCGCUUGCCAUUCCAACUCCGGCUUUAAAUGUCUCGACUAGCCGUUGGAUCGUGUUUUUCUCACCAGUAAAGCGGAGACGCUCCUGCCUCUUGGGGGGGGGGGUAGGCCGGUGGUCAGGUAAGACUUCGGCAGGAGCCCAGCCCAUGGAAUGACAGUACCAUCCAUCAAUUAACAGUCAGGCCAGCCUUCCACAGGAACGCCUCCAGUGGGCCAGCCUGAUCUGGAUAUGUCCUCACUGAGACUUUUCCUCCAGAUGGUUCUAGCUUGUGUCAGGUUGAUAGUUAGAACUAAGCCUCGCUGGAGGUAAAGUGGGGUCAUGGACCACAGGACAGCACGAAGCCUAUAAGCUGGAGGCAGAGGCAACCAAGAGCAUCACAUGGACGUGGAAGAUGGCUGCCUUGCCUGGAUGAGGAGGGUCCCCACAGGCCCUGCAGGAAGGCUUGCCUGCCCAGGGGAUGCUCAGCUGAAGCCACUCUGCUACCCCCUGAGAGAGCUCCCUGCCUUGGCUCCCUUGACAGAUGAGUCUGUUCACAUCAUCAGGUGGUCUGUUGCCCUCACUGCCGACAGGUGCUUACACCCAAGGAUACCAGUGUGGAGGUUUCUGGGGGUAGCUGCCCCACUGGCCCACCACCUCCUAACACUAAUUCGAGCUUUUGGAACCCCAAGGCAUCACUGGAGCAUCAGACUUCUCCGAAAUGCUUAUGAUGUGUCCCUUGAAGGUACUAUGUGGAUUAAAUUAAAAUAUUAAUUUAGCUUCAAA
rnacentral:lncRNA from 1 species